rnacentral:rRNA from 1 species
AUUGAACGCUGGCGGCAGGCCUAACACAUGCAAGUCGAACGAGUGGCGGACGGGUGAGUAAUGUCUGGGAAACUGCCCGAUGGAGGGGGAUAACUACUGGAAACGGUAGCUAAUACCGCAUACCGUCGGAUGUGUCCAGAUGGGAUUAGCUAGUAGGUGGGGUAACGGCUCACCUAGGCGACGAGCCCUAGCUGGUCUGAGAGGCUGACCAGCCACACUGUGAUGGAGACACGGGCCAGACUCCUACGGGAGGCAGCAGUGGGGAAUAUUGGACAAUGGGCGCAAGCCUGAUGCAGCCAUGCCGCGUGUAUGAAGAAGGCUUUCGGGUUGUAAAGUACUUUCAGCGAGGAGGCGUUACUCGCAGAAGAAGCACCGGCUAACUCCGUGCCAGCAGCCGCGGUAAUAC